rnacentral:rRNA from 1 species
GACAGAGGAGGCAAACGUUGUUCGGAAUCAUUGGGCGUAAAGCGCGCGUAGGCGGACCUGCAAGUCGGGGGUGAAAGCCCGAGGCUCAACCUCGGAACUGCCUUCGAUACUGCGGGUCUCGAGUCCGGGAGAGGUGAGUGGAAUUCCUAGUGUAGAGGUGAAAUUCGUAGAUAUUAGGAAGAACACCAGUGGCGAAGGCGGCUCACUGGCCCGGUACUGACGCUGGGGCGCGAAAGCGUGCGGAGCAAACAGG